UACGGAGGGUGCGAGCGUUGUCCGGAAUCAUUGGGCGUAAAGGGCGCGUAGGUGGCCCAGUCAGCGUGCGGUGAAAGUCGGGGGCUCAACCCCCGAUCGGCCGUGCGAACUGCGGGGCUGGAGCACUGUAGAGGCAGGCGGAAUUCCGGGUGUAGCGGUGGAAUGCGUAGAGAUCCGGAAGAACACCGGUGGCGAAGGCGGCCUGCUGGGCAGUUUUGCUGACACUGAGGCGCGACAGCGUGGGGAGCAAACAGG
rnacentral:rRNA from 1 species